rnacentral:rRNA from 1 species
UACGGAGGUGGCGAGCGUUGCUCGGAUUUACUGGGUGUAGAGAGCACGUAGGCGGUCUGGUAAGCCCUACCUCACAUCCUCUGGCUCAACCAGAGAGGGUGGUGGGGACUGCUAGACUUGAGGAUGGGAGAGGCGAGCGGAAUUCCCGGUGUAAGGGUGAAAUCUGUAGAGAUCGGGAGGAACACCAGUGGCGAAGGCGGCUCGCUGGUCCAUCCCUGACGCUGAGGUGCGAAAGCUAGGGGAGCAAACAGGAUUAG